rnacentral:rRNA from 1 species
GGUUAAGUGACUAAGCGUACAGGGCGGAUGCCUUGGCAAUCAGAGGCGAAGAAGGACGUGCUAAUCUGCGAAAAGCUUGGAUGAGUCGAUAAGAGGCGUUUAAUCCAAGAUGUCCGAAUGGGGAAACCCGAUGGAUGAAGAAUCCAUCAUUUCAUUGUGAAUACAUAGCAAUGAAAGGCGAACCGGGAGAACUGAAACAUCUAAGUACCCCGAGGAAAAGAAAUCAACCGAGAUUCUGUGAGUAGCGGCGAGCGAAAGCGGAAGAGCCAGUAAGUUUUAGCUAGCGUAUUAGAGGAAUUGGCUGGGAAGCCAAAUCAAAGAGGGUGAUAAUCCCGUACUCGAAAGUAUGUUAGUGGAACUAAGCUUACGAUAAGUAAGGCGGGACACGAGAAAUCCUGUUUGAAGAUGGGGGGACCAUCCUCCAAGGCUAAAUACUCCUGAUUGACCGAUAGUGAACUAGUACUGUGAAGGAAAGGCGAAAAGAACCCCGGUGAGGGGAGUGAAAUAGAACCUGAAACCCUGUACGUACAAGCAGUAGGAGCGAGGGCAACCUUGUGACUGCGUACCUUUUGUAUAAUGGGUCAGCGACUUAUAUUUUGUAGCGAGGUUAACUGAAUAAGGGAGCCGAAGGGAAACCGAGUCUUAACUGGGCGUUGAGUUGCAAGGUAUAGACCCGAAACCCGGUGAUCUAGCCAUGGGCAGGUUGAAGGUUGGGUAACACUAACUGGAGGACCGAACCGACUAAUGUUGAAAAAUUAGCGGAUGACUUGUGGCUGGGGGUGAAAGGCCAAUCAAACCGGGAGAUAGCUGGUUCUCCCCGAAAUCUAUUUAGGUAGAGCCUUGAGCGGACACCUUCGGGGGUAGAGCACUGUUUCGGCUAGGGGUCCAUCCCGGAUUACCAACCCGAUGCAAACUGCGAAUACCGAAGAGUGAUACUCAGGAGACACACGGCGGGUGCUAACGUUCGUCGUGGAGAGGGAAACAACCCAGACCGCCAGCUAAGGUCCCAAAGUCUAUAUUAAGUGGGAAACGAAGUGGGAAGGCUUAGACAGCUAGGAUGUUGGCUUAGAAGCAGCCAUCAUUUAAAGAAAGCGUAAUAGCUCACUAGUCGAGUCGGCCUGCGCGGAAGAUGUAACGGGGCUCAAAUAUA